UUUAAUGGGAGAGAAGUUGCUUUAAUCUCACAAGGACUUCCAGCUGAGCUGGGCUUUGCGUGGUGAUACAAAGCAGCACCUGCUGGGUGGGAGGUGCAGAAGUGGCCAAGUGCUGGGAGGCUGGAUGGGAAUGGAGGGUGGCUCAGAAAUGAGGGGCUGGAGGCUUGUUUUUCCCUCUUUGCAGAGAGAGGUGAAGGUCAGGAGCUGCAGGAGCCAAAUUUCACAUGAGCAGCCUCGGCAGGGCAGCCGGGCUGAGCAGGCAGCGAGCACUCGGCCCAGGCAGGGGUGCAAAGCCCAUCGAGGAGGCUGCUGCAGGGAAAGGACCAUCUAUGCAGCUCAGCCAGGCAGGGCCAGCUCCUCCAAGUCCUGCUGGAGAAGAAUAAUGUCUUCUCUCCACCCAGGUCUCCCAUGCUCUUGGUGCUUGCUCUCCAGCACAUCGGUGCACCCAGAGGAGAGGCAGAGCUCAAGGAGAGGCUGAAGGCUGGCUGCCCAAAGGGGAUGCUGAGCACAGAGUCCUGGGGAGCGGGGCUGCUGCUCCUGGUGGCUCGGGGCUCGGCAGACCGAGGAAGGGAAGGAGCCCACGUGGG